rnacentral:rRNA from 1 species
UGCUACCUGGUUGAUCCUGCCA